AUCCAGACUCCUACGGGAGGCAGCAGUGGGGAAUAUUGCACAAUGGGGGAAACCCUGAUGCAGCGACGCCGCGUGAAGGACGAAGUAUUUCGGUACGUAAACUUCUAUCAGCAGGGAAGAAAAUGACGGUACCUGACCAAGAAGCCCCGGCUAACUCCGUGCCAGCAGCCGCGGUAAUACGGAGGAUGCGAGCGUUAUCCGGAUUUAUUGGGUUUAAAGGGUGCGCAGGCGGAAGAUCAAGUCAGCGGUAAAAUUGAGAGGCUCAACCUCUUCGAGCCGUUGAAACUGGUUUUCUUGAGUGAGCGAGAAGUAUGCGGAAUGCGUGGUGUAGCGGUGAAAUGCAUAGAUAUCACGCAGAACUCCGAUUGCGAAGGCAGCAUACCGGCGCUCAACUGACGCUCAUGCACGAAAGUGUGGGUAUCGAACAGGAUUAGAUACCCGGGUAC
rnacentral:rRNA from 1 species